UACGUAGGGUGCGAGCGUUGUCCGGAAUUAUUGGGCGUAAAGAGCUCGUAGGCGGCUCGGUAAGUCGGAUGUGAAACCUCCAGGCUCAACCUGGAGACGCCAUCUGAUACUGCCGUGGCUUGAGUCCGGUAGAGGAGCAGGGAAUUCCUGGUGUAGCGGUGAAAUGCGCAGAUAUCAGGAGGAACACCAGCGGCGAAGGCGCUGCUCUGGGCCGGUACUGACGCUGAGGAGCGAAAGCGUGGGGAGCGAACAGG
rnacentral:rRNA from 1 species